UGCCUUUUUUUGGGCUUGUACCCUCUCUGGAACCAACCCAAGAAUGUCGACUUAUCAGUUUCUUCAACAUUGUCUUUGUAACUUCCAAAUACAAUAAUGUUGUCGUCAUGCCGGAUAACUUUCCUGCACCCGCAACAAAUGGAGAACACAAAAUCCUCGCUGGCCUUGACACCCGCUUCAUUGGUAAUUCAGAAGGCGGUUCAGAAGUUGGAGAUUCCUGUGUAUUGAAAAAGAUAAAAUGUUACUUUAUGCGUGUGAUCUGUGUAUUUUGAAACGUGUAUCGUUCGUGACCUACACAUUCAGUGACCGGCAUGCAGCAGAAAGAACAAAAUGGGAAUACCUCUUCCUCAACAUUUGCAGAUGCUGUGACCACAUCAGAUAUGACAGCAUCUACCCGCUUUUGNNN
rnacentral:lncRNA from 1 species